rnacentral:rRNA from 1 species
UACGUAGGGUGCGAGCGUUGCUCGGAAUUACUGGGCGUAAAGGGCGCGUAGGCGGGAUGGCAAGUCGGUCGUGAAAUCCUUCGGCUCAACCGAAGAACGUCGAUCGAUACUGCUGUUCUUGAGGGUUGCAGAGGAGACUGGAAUUCCCGGUGUAGCGGUGAAAUGUGUAGAGAUCGGGAGGAACACCGGUGGCGAAGGCGGGUCUCUGGGCAAUUCCUGACGCUGAGGCGCGAAAGCGUGGGGAGCAAACGGG